AUCUAUGUAGUAUAAAAAGUACAUUAGACUUCCAAUCUUAAAGUCUAUAACUAUAGUAUAGAUA
rnacentral:tRNA from 1 species